rnacentral:rRNA from 2 species
AGCCGAAGAUACCAGCUGGCUGCAACUGUUUAUUAAAAACACAGCACUGUGCAAACACGAAAGUGGACGUAUACGGUGUGACGCCUGCCCGGUGCCGGAAGGUUAAUUGAUGGGGUCAGCGCAAGCGAAGCUCCUGAUCGAAGCCCCGGUAAACGGCGGCCGUAACUAUAACGGUCCUAAGGUAGCGAAAUUCCUUGUCGGGUAAGUUCCGACCUGCACGAAUGGCGUAAUGAUGGCCAGGCUGUCUCCACCCGAGACUCAGUGAAAUUGAACUCGCUGUGAAGAUGCAGUGUACCCGCGGCAAGACGGAAAGACCCCGUGAACCUUUACUAUAGCUUGACACUGAACAUUGAGCCUUGAUGUGUAGGAUAGGUGGGAGGCUUUGAAGUGUGGACGCCAGUCUGCAUGGAGCCGACCUUGAAAUACCACCCUUUAAUGUUUGAUGUUCUAACGUGGACCCGUGAUCCGGGUUGCGGACAGUGUCUGGUGGGUAGUUUGACUGGGGCGGUCUCCUCCUAAAGAGUAACGGAGGAGCACGAAGGUUGGCUAAUCCUGGUCGGACAUCAGGAGGUUAGUGCAAUGGCAUAAGCCAGCUUGACUGCGAGCGUGACGGCGCGAGCAGGUGCGAAAGCAGGUCAUAGUGAUCCGGUGGUUCUGAAUGGAAGGGCCAUCGCUCAACGGAUAAAAGGUACUCCGGGGAUAACAGGCUGAUACCGCCCAAGAGUUCAUAUCGACGGCGGUGUUUGGCACCUCGAUGUCGGCUCAUCACAUCCUGGGGCUGAAGUAGGUCCCAAGGGUAUGGCUGUUCGCCAUUUAAAGUGGUACGCGAGCUGGGUUUAGAACGUCGUGAGACAGUUCGGUCCCUAUCUGCCGUGGGCGCUGGAGAACUGAGGGGGGCUGCUCCUAGUACGAGAGGACCGGAGUGGACGCAUCACUGGUGUUCGGGUUGUCAUGCCAAUGGCACUGCCCGGUAGCUAAAUGCGGAAGAGAUAAGUGCUGAAAGCAUCUAAGCACGAAACUUGCCCCGAGAUGAGUUCUCCCUGAGACUUUAGGUCUCCUGAAGGAACGUUGAAGACGACGACGUUGAUAGGCCGGGUGUGUAAGCGCAGCGAUGCGUUGAGCUAACCGGUACUAAUGAACCGUGAGGCUUAACCUUACAACGCCGAAG